UACGUAGGUGGCAAGCGUUGUCCGGAAUUACUGGGCGUAAAGCGUGCGCAGGCGGUUGUGCAAGACAGAGGUGAAAUCCCCGGGCUUAACCUGGGAACUGCCUUUGUGACUGCACGGCUAGAGUGUGUCAGAGGGGGGUAGAAUUCCACGUGUAGCAGUGAAAUGCGUAGAUAUGUGGAGGAAUACCGAUGGCGAAGGCAGCCCCCUGGGAUAACACUGACACUCAUGCACGAAAGCGUGGGGAGCAAACAGG
rnacentral:rRNA from 1 species